ACGCUCGACACUACGGGAGACAGCAGUUGGGAAUAUUGGACAAUGGAGGAAACUCUGAUCCAGUGACGCCGCGUGAAGGAAGAAGGUCUUCGGAUUGUAAACUUAUUUUGUCAGGGAAGAAAAAUGACUGUACCUGAAGAAAAAGCACCGGCUAACUACGUGUCAGCAGCCGCGGUAAUCUGAGCGGGCUGGCAAGGC
rnacentral:rRNA from 1 species